rnacentral:rRNA from 1 species
AUUGAACGCUGGCGGCAGGCUUAACACAUGCAAGUCGAGCGGUAGCACAAGAGAGCUUGCUCUCUGGGUGACGAGCGGCGGACGGGUGAGUAAUGUCUGGGAAACUGCCUGAUGGAGGGGGAUAACUACUGGAAACGGUAGCUAAUACCGCAUAACGUCGCAAGACCAAAGAGGGGGACCUUCGGGCCUCUUGCCAUCAGAUGUGCCCAGAUGGGAUUAGCUAGUAGGUGGGGUAAUGGCUCACCUAGGCGACGAUCCCUAGCUGGUCUGAGAGGAUGACCAGCCACACUGGAACUGAGACACGGUCCAGACUCCUACGGGAGGCAGCAGUGGGGAAUAUUGCACAAUGGGCGCAAGCCUGAUGCAGCCAUGCCGCGUGUGUGAAGAAGGCCUUCGGGUUGUAAAGCACUUUCAGCGAGGAGGAAGGUGGUGAACUUAAUACGUUCAUCAAUUGACGUUACUCGCAGAAGAAGCACCGGCUAACUCCAUG